AUUCAAAAUGGGAGAGGCACUCAAUCUGACUUUGUUAGUUUGAAUACAGAUGAAGCCAGAGAAAGGAAUGCAAGUAGCUCUUGGAGAAGGGCCCUAAUAAUUACAGGCAUAAACUUGCUGCAGAGCCAAAGCUGAUUUGGAUUCUUGAUUUCCUUGCCUCCUGAUGAUAAGUAUGCGUCACUAUGUUCAACUUGAAGUUCACUUGAGUGAGACUCAUCCAAGUAUAAGAAAAACCUGAGCACAGUAUUAUUUCUUCCUUCUCCUAUGGAGAAGACUAAUGCCCAGAGAUACUUCUAGUAUCCUGCCAAUGGAUAAAAGUCUGGUUAUCCAAGUAUUAGAAGCUAAAUGGAGCAAAGAAAAAAAACCACCAGCAUUUGCAUAUAAAUUGUUAUUUCUGUUUCUUCAUAUAGCAUUAUGCAUUAGCUCACAAGAGAAAAGUGCAUGUGUAUACAGCCUAUCCACUCCAGACACCAAUGUCUCCAGUGCACAAAUGCUUACCUGGGAUUUAUUUUUAAACAUCAUCAGAUCUUCUU